UUUAUUUUCUUUUCUUUUCUUUUUGCUGAGAGAUUGUUUUUAUUGUUCACCACUAAUAAUUUUUUUAUAGUCACACACUUGUUUUACCCCUUGUUUUAGAGUAUUGAACUGCAAUCUAACUGUUCUAUAGUUUUUGGCAAAAAAAAAAACUGUUAUAUAGUCACAAUUGCUAUUUUAUUUGAUAAAGUAACAUAAUGGUUCCUUUGAUUAGUUGGUAAAUAACAAGUUAAAGUCUUGCUGCUAGACGAGCAACUAAUUAAGAUUAUAACCAUUAUAUUGCUACGUACUGCUCCAAUAAGUCUUUUGUUUUCUAACAACCAGUGUGAAGAUUUAAAGUACAAUAACAUUAUGUUAUCAGUAAAUAGUAAUUUCUAGAC
rnacentral:lncRNA from 1 species